rnacentral:rRNA from 1 species
UACGAAGGGGGCUAGCGUUGUUCGGAAUUACUGGGCGUAAAGGGCGCGUAGGCGGUGUGUCAAGUCAGGCGUGAAAGCCCCGGGCUCAACCUGGGAACCGCGCUUGAGACUGGCACGCUCGAGUUCGGGAGAGGAUGGUGGAAUUCCCAGUGUAGAGGUGAAAUUCGUAGAUAUUGGGAAGAACACCAGUGGCGAAGGCGGCUCACUGGCCCGUUACCGACGCUCAGGCGCGACAGCGUGGGGAGCAAACAGG